GGGAAGAUGGCUCAGUGGUAGAGCGCUUGCCUUGCAUGCAUGAGAGCCU
rnacentral:tRNA from 1 species